GUGGGAUGACGUCAAAUCAUCAUGCCCCUUAUGUCCUGGGCCACACACGUGCUACAAUGGCCGGUACAGACGGACGCAAAGCCGCGAGGUGGAGCAAAUCCUAAAAAGCCGGUCUCAGUUCGGAUUGCAGGCUGCAAUUCGCCUGCAUGAAGUCGGAAUCGCUAGUAAUCGCAGGUCAGCAUACUGCGGUGAAUACGUUCCCGGGCCUU
rnacentral:rRNA from 1 species